rnacentral:rRNA from 1 species
CCCGGUGGUAAAAACUCCGGUGGUAUGAGAUGGACCCGCGUCUGAUUAGCUAGUUGGUGGGGUAACGGCUCACCAAGGCGACGAUCAGUAGCCGACCUGAGAGGGUGACCGGCCACAUUGGGACUGAGACACGGCCCAAACUCCUACGGGAGGCAGCAGUGGGGAAUAUUGCACAAUGGGGGAAACCCUGAUGCAGCGACGCCGCGUGAAGGAUGAAGUAUUUCGGUAUGUAAACUUCUAUCAGCAGGGAAGAAAAUGACGGUACCUGACUAAGAAGCCCCGGCUAACUACGUGCCAGCAGCCGCGGUAAUACGUAGGGGGCAAGCGUUAUCCGGAUUUACUGGGUGUAAAGGGAGCGUAGACGGCAUGGCAAGUCUGAAGUGAAAGCCCGGGGCUCAACCCCGGGACUGCUUUGGAAACUGUCAGGCUAGAGUGCUGGAGAGGUAAGUGGAAUUCCUAGUGUAGCGGUGAAAUGCGUAGAUAUUAGGAGGAACACCAGUGGCGAAGGCGGCUUACUGGACAGUGACUGACGUUGAGGCUCGAAAGCGUGGGGAGCAAACAAGAUUAGAUACCCUGGUAGUCCACGCCGUAAACGAUACUAAGAGGGUCGGGUAGCAAAGCUAUUCGGUGCCGCAGCAAACGCAAUAAAUAGUCCACCCGGGGAGUACGUUCGCAAGAAUGAUACUCACAACCAAUUGACGGGGACCCGCACAAGCGGUGGAGCAUGUGGUUUAAUUUGAAGCAACGAGAAGAACCUUACCUGAUCUUGACAUCCCGAUGCCCGCUCCGUAAUGGGAGCCCCUCUUCAGAACAUCGGUGACAGGCGGUGCAUGGUUGUCGUCAGCUUGUGUCGUGAGAUGUUGGGUUAAGUCCCGCAACGAGCGCAACCCCUAUCUUUAGUAGCCAGCAUCUAAGGUGGGCACUCUAGAGAGACUGCCAGGGACAACCUGGAGGAAGGAGGGGAUGACGUCAAAUCAUCAUGCCCCCUAUGACCAGGGCUACACACGUGCUACAAUGGCGUAAACAAAGGGAAGCAAAGCUGUGAGGCCGAGCAAAUCCCAAAAAUAACGUCUCAGUUAGGAUUGUAGUCUGCAACUCGACUACAUGAAGCUGGAAUCGCUAGUAAUCGCGAAUCAGAAUGUCGCGGUGAAAAAAAUCCCGGGUCUUGCACA